CUCUCACAUCUCAUCUCAUCUUCGUUGAACACGCCGAGCCUCAUCUCAGCUCUUCUUCCUUGAACACGCAAAGCCUCACUCAACCCACUUGAACACUAGAGAAGCCACCAUUGAUUUGAAACCUCCACUGCUUCAAUCAAACCCAUUCUCACAUCGCAGAAACCUCGUCGGCGUCGCACCUCCAUCGUCGGCAUCGCACCUCCAUUGAUUCAAACGUGCUCCUCUCAAAUCUGAUUCGAACUCUCAGGCAGAGUUCUUGCAAGGAAGCAUCUGAUUCGAACCUGUGCUGUGGUUGCAAGGAAGCAUCUGUCUGAUUAAGGAACCUGUGCUGUGCUGUGGUUGCAAGGAAGCAUCUGUCUGUCUGAUUAAUUAUUUGCAAGGAACCUGUGCUGUGCUCCUCUCAGACUAGUCGGCUUUUGCUUCUCUGGAAACCCAUCUAUCUUCGUCCUUACCAAACUUCAUAUCUCAAACCAAGCCCGAUGGAUGAAGCUAACUCAGUGCCAAUGAUGAUGGAGAUAAACCAGGGGGUGGAAGAAGGUUUUGCUUCUAAUCAGCCAUCACUUAUGACUGAAUCUGCACCAGUAGCUGUGACCUCUGAAGCUCAGAAUGUUUGUUUUGAUGGAAAUUGUGAACUUAAAUGCAUGCUGGAAACUGGACAGCUUUUGAUUAAAUGGAAAUUAUGAACUUGUAUUUUGGGCAGCCUUUCAUUUCUUAGUUUUAUCAUCUUGUAUUCAUUUCUUAUGAACUUUGGAAUGUUUGUUUUGAUGGAAAUUGGACAGCUUUUGAUUAAAUGGAAUGUUGUUGUGUUA